rnacentral:lncRNA from 1 species
AAUCUAUUCUAAUUAUCAACGAAUUCCUAGAAUUUUAGGAGGAAUGGGAAUUGUAAUUCUUUCUACUUCUAGAGGUAUAAUAACAGAUCGAGAGCCUACGCUUAUAAGUUAAAAAUUAAAAAAAAAAACUUAUUUUCUUCCAAUAAAGAGAUUAGGGAUUCAUUUAAGGAAUGACAAAUAUGAAAAUAAGGGCCUUUGCUCAUAAAAUUUGUGAAAAAUGUAGAUUGAUCCGUAGGCGGGGUCGAAUUAUAGUAAUUUGUUCCAAUCCAAGACAUAAACAAAGACAAGGAUAAAAUUUCCACAAAGGAGGGCUUUCAAUUCUAAAGUAAAGGACUGAGACUGAAUGCACAAAUAAAAUCAAUUUUUAUUAAAUAAUAUAGAUAAUAUAUAUAAGUUUUAUAAAUAUAUAUAUUAAAUUAUUAUAUAUAUUCUAACUAUUAAAAAGAAAUAAAAAAAAUAAUUGAUAUUUAAAAUUCUAUUAAUAUAGAAUUAAUAAAAAGAGUACAAUUAAUAUAGAAAAGUUAUAAAAUAGUAACGAAUCUUGUUUUGAUAUAAAAUGGAUAUAUCCAUAGAUCUUGGACUUCAAUUGCUAAAUAAAAAAUUUAAUAAAGUAUGGCAAAACCUACACCCAAAAUGGGUUCGCGUAAAAAUGGACGUAUUGGUUCGCGUAAGCAUGCUCGUAAAAUACCAAAGGGAGUUAUUCAUGUUCAAGCUAGUUUCAACAAUACCAUUGUGACUGUUACUGAUGUACGGGGGCGGGUAAUUUCUUGGUCCUCCGCCGGUACUUGUGGAUUCAAGGGUACACGAAGAGGCACACCAUUUGCCGCUCAAACCGCAGCAGCAAAUGCUAUUCUAACAGUAGCGGAUCAAGGCAUGCAACGGGCGGAAGUCAUGAUAAAAGGUCCGGGUCUCGGAAGAGAUGCGGCAUUAAGAGGAUAAUAUUAUAUAUAUUCUAACUAUUAAAAAGAAAUAAAAAUAAUAAUUGAUAUUUAAAAUUCUAUUAAUGUAGAAUUAAGAAAAAGAGUACAAUUAAUAUAGAAAAGUUAUAAAAUAGUAACGAAUCUUGUUUUGAUAUAAAAUGGAUAUAUCCAUAGAUCUUGGACUUCAAUUGCUAAAUAAAAAAUUUAAUAAAGUAUGGCAAAACCUACACCCAAAAUGGGUUCGCGUAAAAAUGGACGUAUUGGUUCGCGUAAGCAUGCUCGUAAAAUACCAAAGGGAGUUAUUCAUGUUCGUGCUCGUAAAAUACCAAAGGUAGUUAUUCAUGUUCAAGUUAGUUUCAACAAUACCAUUGUGAUUGUUACUGAUGUACGGGGGCGGGUAAUUUCUUGGUCCUCCGCCGGUACUUGUGGAUUCAAGGGUACACGAAGAGGCACACCAUUUGCCGCUCAAACCGCAGCAGCAAAUGCUAUUCUAACAGUAGCGGAUCAAGACAUGCAACGGGCGGAAGUCAUGAUAAAAGGCCCGGGUCUCGGAAGAGAUGCUGCAUUAAGAGCUAUUCGUAGAAGUGGUAUACUAUUAAAAUUUAUACGGGAUGUAACCCCUAUGCCACAUAAUGGAUGUAGGUCUCCGAAAAAACGACGUGUGUAAAACGAAAAAUAAACAUGGAAGCGAUUUCAAGAGAAAUAAACCAUUAAAGGAUUUAAUAAUAUAUAUAAUAUAUUACUAUGGUUCGAGAGAAAGUAAGAGUAUCUACUCGAACACUCCGUUGGAAGUGUGUUGAAUCAAGAGUAGACAGUAAGCUUCUUUAUUAUGGGCACUUUAUUCUAUCUCCACUUAUGAAAGGUCAAGCCGAUACAAUAGGCAUUACAAUGCGAAGAGUUGUACUCGGAGAAAUCGAGGGAACAUGUAUCAUACGUGCAAAAUCUGAGAAGUUGUUAAGGCCCACAUGCAUUGUAUUUUCUCUUUAUUAAGGAUCAAAUCGUUCUUGUAAAUCAUCAAUUGAGAAAUAUUAAGAGUUACGUUUUCUCUCUUUAUCUCUAAUACUUCCAGAUUCUUCUUUCCCUAUUUCUCUCUUAUAAUAUAUAAUACUGAAUCAGAAUGACACAACCACAUUGGUUCAUACUAAGCUGCAUCGUGUCAUAUUAAAUUCCAAGACAAAUUUUUAAUACCAAAAGCACAUCACAAUCUACACUCCAAUGAUCCCAAUCCCAUUAACCUCAAUC